UGGGGAAUAUUGCACAAUGGGCGAAAGCCUGAUGCAGCAACGCCGCGUGAGCGAAGAAGGUCCUAUGGAUUGUAAAGCUCUGAUCUGGGGGAAGAUAAUGACGGUACCCCAGGAGAAAGCCCCGGCUAACUACGUGCCAGCAGCCGCGGUAAUACGUAGGGGGCAAGCGUUAUCCGGAAUUAUUGGGCGUAAAGAGUGCGUAGGUGGCUUUCUAAGCGAGGGGUGAAAGGCAGUGGCUUAACCAUUGUGAGCCCUUCGAACUGGAUAGCUUGAGUGCAGGAGGGGAAAGUGGAACUCCUAGUGUAGCGGUGAAAUGCGUAGAUAUUAGGAAGAACACCGGUGGCGAAGGCGGCUUUCUGGACUGUAACUGACACUGAGGCACGAAAGCGUGGGGAGCAAACAGGAUUAGAUACCCUGGUAGUCCACGCCGUAAACGAUGAGCACUAGGUGUCGGAGCCUAUAAAGCUUCGGUGCCGCAGUUAACGCAUUAAGUGCUCCGCCU
rnacentral:rRNA from 1 species